rnacentral:lncRNA from 1 species
UCCAGACCGAGGAGCUGCACUGCCUCAGGGGCGAGCUGAGCCACAUCAAGGCCCAGGUGGACCGCCUGCUGGAGCACGUGGAACUCAUGGAACAGCGGAGGGACCAGCUUCCAGGUCAGGCCCCCAAGGCUGGGCCCAGGCCACACUCCACAGGCGCCAGGUUUUCCCACUGCUGAAGGUACCCGGGGUCCAGCCUCGGGCUCCCCUUGGCUGCAGGGCUCCUCCUCACCCUCCCCGGGUGCACUCCCCCCCAUUCCUUCCGGGUGUGACCCCCCGCCCCCCUGCCCACUCAGCAGCUGUCUGGAGCUAGAAGCUUGUCUCACUCAGCUGCUUGUCCUCUCGAGCCCUGGACACCUGAGAUCAGUGCUGCGCGUCGAGUGGCCUCUUUUGGGGUUAGCUGGGGCCUUCAGACCUGGCCGGUGACUGGUGACUGUGCUUGUCCAGGGACAGAGGACUGUGAACAGAACAGGGGCUCCAGCAGUCAGGGGUCCUUAUGCAGAACCACCGAACCCAGGCAGGAGCCCAAAGGCCUGAGGGCCCAUCUGGAGGCGGACGGCUCCCAGGAGCACACAGACCUGGAGGCUGCGGUCAAGAAUCAGGCGUCAGACCAGGGCUGUCAGUAGCAGGCUGGAACCCCUCCAGGCGCAUCAGCUCCAGGCACGGUCCUUGCCUUGAGCGUUUUCUUGAGGGUCUCUCAGCGGCACCCAUGCCACCCAUUCUGGAGCCAGGGCGAUGGAAAUGGAGGCGUGGCUCAGCCAGACGGGCCAGGAACCCGGCCUUAGUGCUGCUUUUAGCUUUGGCUCAGAGAUUAAAGCGUAUGCCUGCAAUGUAGGAGACCUGGGUUCAAUCCCUGGGUUGGGAAGAUCCCCUGGAGAAGGCAAUGGCACCCCACUCCAGUAUUCUUGCCUGGAGAAUCCCAUGGAAGGAGGAGCCUGGGGGGCUACAGUCCAUGGGGUCGCAGAGUCAGACAAGACUGUGCAACUUCACUUUCACUUUAGCUUUGUCCAAAUGGCAGUCUAGGUACUGCAGGGAAGCGGGGCGGCCCACAGCUGCCUGGCACCAGCGCACCAUCUCAUAGAGCCGGGCCCGCUCCUGCAGGCAGAGCUGGACGCUCACCCCCGGGAGCAGCGUCAGCUCUCUUCCCCUCUCAAAGCCCCCGUCCUGUCUGGGCGUCCACAGGGUUACCGUUUUUACCUUGUUUCUAUCUUGUUUCUUUUUGCUGUGGUUCUAUAUAUUUCAGAUCUGCUUUGGAAAUAUACGUCACUGGGGGCAAAUAAAGUUUGUAUUUUUCCCCCUCGUCA